GGCACUCGCAGUAUGUAGGGAGCCACCCUUGGAUGAUGCUCGGGAUUUCUUUCCUUUUUUACUCAACAAUUGGUAUUCUGUGCGCUACUCCAAUGGCGAAAAUACAGUUGUCAUGCGGGUUCAGGAAUCCACUUAGGUUUUACUAAUUUCUUUCAAACAUAAUCCAAGAGAUCGUUAAAUCUGGCUAUACAUCUUAUAAAAAAGUCCUUCUUUAUAAUAAAUGUAUUUGCAUCAUCUCACCAAUAAAAUUUCUACAACAAAAAUAUAAUAUUCAAUCUUUUGUUCUAACAAAGUGUUAAUAAGUAGUCGAUAAAUUAAAUCCUUACCUUAAAUUCUUCAAACAUUCUAUCCCUGUCAAGUUCUGGAACCUUUUGUCAGUUGAUCCAGUAGCCGUUGAAGUGCCGAGUAAUGCAUAUUCGCACCUUUUAUCCAACUCCAC
rnacentral:lncRNA from 1 species